rnacentral:rRNA from 1 species
GAUCCUGCGUCACGGAUGAACGCUAGCUACAGGCUUAACACAUGCAAGUCGAGGGGCAGCAUGGUCUUAGCUUGCUAAGGCCGAUGGCGACCGGCGCACGGGUGAGUAACACGUAUCCAACCUGCCGUCUACUCUUGGACAGCCUUCUGAAAGGAAGAUUAAUACAAGAUGGCAUCAUGAGUCCGCAUGUUCACAUGAUUAAAGGUAUUCCGGUAGACGAUGGGG